GAAAUGCGAUAAGUAAUGUGAAUUGCAGAAUUCAGUGAAUCAUCGAAUCUUUGAACGCACAUUGCGCCCGCCAGUAUUCUGGCGGGCAUGCCUGUUCGAGCGUCAUUUCAACCAUCAAGCCCCCGGCUUGUGUUGGGGACCUGCGGCUGCCCGCAGGCCCUGAAAAACAGUGGCGGGCUUGCUGUCACACCGAGCGUAGUAGCAUACAUUCUCGCUCAGGGCGUGCUGCGGGUUCCGGCCGUUAAACGACCUUCAUAACCCAAGGUUGACCUCGGAUCAGGUAGGAAGACCCGCUGAACUUAAGC
rnacentral:misc_RNA from 1 species